rnacentral:misc_RNA from 1 species
AAGUCGUUUCCGUAGGUGAACCUGCGGAAGGAUCAUUAACACGUAUCCAAACGUUAAAACCCCCCGUGAACCUUUAUUGUACUUAAACGCUUCGUUGGAAAGUAGCAGGCACAGCGGGUAAAUCAUCGCCGAACAGUUUUGAUUCCGAAGUGGCCUUGCAUCCCUCUGCUUCUUAAUGUCUGGAAGUGUCAUUAGCUCUGUAAGGAUGGCGCAGUAACGACUAGAGGCCAUCACGGCCGGCGAGGCCGCAGGGUACGAGCCCCCCUGAUCACCCCUUUGCAUGAAAACGGGCCUGCGCUUAAUUGUGUGGCCACAAACUCGAACAACUGUGAACAAUGGAUAUCUUGGUUCUC